rnacentral:rRNA from 1 species
AUUGAACGCUGGCGGCAGGCCUAACACAUGCAAGUCGAACGAGUGGCGGACGGGUGAGUAAUGUCUGGGAAACUGCCCGAUGGAGGGGGAUAACUACUGGAAACGGUAGCUAAUACCGCAUACCAUCGGAUGUGCCCAGAUGGGAUUAGCUAGUAGGUGGGGUAACGGCUCACCUAGGCGACGAUCCCUAUCUGGUCUGUGAGGAUGACCAGCCACACUUGAACUGUGACACGGUCCAGAAUCCUACGCGAGGCAGCGGUGGGGAAUAUUGCACAAUGGGCGCAAGCCUGAUGCAGCCAUGCCGCGUGUAUGAAGAAGGCCUUGGGGUUGUAAAGUACUUUCAGCGAGGAGGCGUUACUCGCAGAAGAAGCACCGGCUAACUCCGUGCCAGCAGCCGCGGUAAUUC